UUAAUAGUUGAUGGUUGGGAAAUUACACUAGCUGAUUGCUUAUGCUUUUCUGCAUACGUUUUGUUAUAUCAUGAUGCAUAAUACUCUACUUUUUGUUAUCUCUUAAAAUAUAAUCCUGGUUGUUGGUCAAGAAAGAGUGAGAAAGUUUUGUUUGACAUUGUUGUACUUUAUUUGCUUCUACUGCUAUAUACCUGUUUUCUGUGUCUAUAUGCUAUUGCUUUGUACCACUUGUUUCAAAAGUAAUCGGAAUGACAUUGGUGAAG
rnacentral:misc_RNA from 1 species